UGGGGAAUUUUGGACAAUGGGCGAAAGCCUGAUCCAGCAAUGCCGCGUGUGUGAAGAAGGCCUUCGGGUUGUAAAGCACUUUUGUCCGGAAAGAAAUCCUUGGCUCUAAUACAGUCGGGGGAUGACGGUACCGGAAGAAUAAGCACCGGCUAACUACGUGCCAGCAGCCGCGGUAAUACGUAGGGUGCAAGCGUUAAUCGGAAUUACUGGGCGUAAAGCGUGCGCAGGCGGUUUGCUAAGACCGAUGUGAAAUCCCCGGGCUAACCUGGGAACUGCAUUGGUGACUGGCAGGCUAGAGUAUGGCAGAGGGGGGUAGAAUUCCACGUGUAGCAGUGAAAUGCGUAGAGAUGUGGAGGAAUACCGAUGGCGAAGGCAGCCCCCUGGGCCAAUACUGACGCUCAUGCACGAAAGCGUGGGGAGCAAAACAGGAUUAGUACCCUGGUAGUCCACGCCCUAAACGAUGUCAACUAGUUGUUGGGGAUUCAUUUCCUUAGUAACGUAGCUAACGCGUGAAGUUGACCGCCUGGGG
rnacentral:rRNA from 1 species